rnacentral:rRNA from 1 species
UACGUAAGGUGCAAGCGUUAAUCGGAAUUACUGGGCGUAAAGCGUGCGCAGGCGGUUCUAUAAGACAGAUGUGAAAUCCCCGGGCUCAACCUGGGAACUGCAUUUGUGACUGUAGAGCUGGAGUACGGCAGAGGGGGAUGGAAUUCCGCGUGUAGCAGUGAAAUGCGUAGAUAUGCGGAGGAACACCGAUGGCGAAGGCAAUCCCCUGGGCCUGUACUGACGCUCAUGCACGAAAGCGUGGGGAGCAAACAGG